rnacentral:rRNA from 1 species
AAAGCUCCCUUCGGGGAGUGCAUAAAGUGGCGCACGGGUGAGUAACACGUAAGUAAUCUACCCUCGGGUGGGGAAUAACGUUCGGAAACGGACGCUAAUACCGCAUAAUGCAGCGGCACCGCAAGGUGACAGUUGUUAAAGAUUUAUUGCCUGGGGAGGAGCUUGCGGCAGAUUAGCUUGUUGGUAAGGUAACGGCUUACCAAGGCGACGAUCUGUAUCCGGUCUAAGAGGACGGUCGGACACACUGACACUGAAUAACGGGUCAGACUCCUACGGGAGGCAGCAGUCGGGAAUUUUGGGCAAUGGGGGAAACCCUGACCCAGCAACGCCGCGUGAAGGAUGAAGUAUUUCGGUAUGUAAACUUCGAAAGAAUAGGAAGAAUUAAUGACGGUACUAUUUAUAAGGUCCGGCUAACUACGUGCCAGCAGCCGCGGUAAUACGUAGGGACCAAGCGUUGUUCGGAUUUACUGGGCGUAAAGGGCGCGUAGGCGGCGCGGUAAGUCACUUGUGAAAUCUCUGAGCUUAACUCAGAACGGCCAAGUGAUACUGCAGUGCUAGAGUGUGGAAGGGGCAAUCGGAAUUCUUGGUGUAGCGGUGAAAUGCGUAGAUAUCAAGAGGAACACCUGAGGUGAAGACGGGUUGCUGGGCCAACACUGACGCUGAUGCGCGAAAGCCAGGGGAGCAAACGGGAUUAGAUACCCCGGUAGUCCUGGCCCUAAACGAUGAAUACUUGGUGUCUGGAGUUUUAAUGCUCCGGGUGCCGUCGCUAACGUUUUUAGUAUUCCGCCUGGGGAGUACGCUCGCAAGAGUGAAACUC